AUCCUACGGGAGGCAGCAGUGGGGGAAUAUUGCACAAUGGGCGCAAGCCUGAUGCAGCCAUGCCGCGUGUAUGAAGAAGGCCUUCGGGUUGUAAAGUACUUUCAGCAGUGAGGAAGGCAGGUACGUUAAUAGCGUGCUUGUUUGACGUUAGCUGCAGAAGAAGCACCGGCUAACUCCGUGCCAGCAGCCGCGGUAAUACGGAGGGUGCGAGCGUUAAUCGGAAUUACUGGGCGUAAAGCGCAUGCAGGUGGUUUGUUAAGUCAGAUGUGAAAGCCCGGGGCUCAACCUCGGAAUUGCAUUUGAAACUGGCAGACUAGAGUACUGUAGAGGGGGUAGAAUUUCAGGUGUAGCGGUGAAAAUGCGUAGAGAUCUGAAGGAAUACCGGUGGCGAAGGCGGCCCCCUGGACAGAUACUGACACUCAGAUGCGAAAGCGUGGGGAGCAAACAGGAUUAGAUACCCUGGUAG
rnacentral:rRNA from 1 species